ACAAUGGGCGAAAGCCUGAUCCAGCAAUGCCGCGUGAGUGAUGAAGGCCUUAGGGUUGUAAAGCUCUUUUCCCGGGAUGAUAAUGACAGUACCGGGAGAAUAAGCUCCGGCUAACUCCGUGCCACAGCCGCGGUAAUACGGACGGAGCUAGCGUUGUUCGGAAUUACUGGGCGCUAAAGCGCACGAUAGGCGGCUUUGCAAGUCAGAGGUGAAAGCCUCGGAGCUCAACUCCGAGAACUGCCUUUGAGCUGCAUCGCUUGAAUCCAGGCAGAGGUGAGUGGAAUUCCGAGUGUAGAGGAUGAAAUUCGUAGAUAUUCGGAA
rnacentral:rRNA from 1 species